UCUCUCUCUCGACGGAAUAGAACGGAAUCGACGAUGAUCUCUUCUCAACGGAAUCAGUCGAAGAUCUCUCCUUGACGGAAUCAGUUGGUGUCUCACUCAGUGGACUCCUCGUCUCUCUCUCUCUCUCUCUCUCUCUCGACGGCUCACCUCGAUGAAGAAUCACUUCACCUCUCUCUCCGGUCCGGAGCUCUCCUCAACGAAAUCAAAACGAAAGGUAAAGCUAUGUAUUUUUCCUUUUAUAUCUGAAUCCUUCUUGAUUUGUUGUGUUGGUUUCUGCCUCUUGAUUUGUCUCUGUCUUUCUUUCUUCAGAUGGACGGAUCAAGAGACGAAGGUUCGUCAAACAAGACAACUACAAUUGCAAUAAAAAUGGAUGGAUCAAAUCCCUUUUGAUUUGUUCUGUCUUUGUGCCUUUACAUGGAUGGAUCAAGAGACAUGAGCAAGGUUGACGUUGGCAAAGGAGUACAAUGCAAUAGAGAUUCACGGACUAGCUCAUUGUAGUCAUGUCUUGGUGCGAUGUAAAGAUGUCAAGUUCCAUCUCUUUGUUUCAAGACAGUGGGAGCAUUGAGAGCAUCCGUGUGUCGUUGGUUGUCACAUGUAUUGUGGGAGCAUUGGGAAGAUUAUGAGAGCAUGUAUCAUCUCCAUAAUAUGAUAGUAGAAGAUGAACGAGAUGGAUACACUCAAUUUGAUGUUUCAGAGUUCCAACAAGGAGAAGACACCGGAAGUUCACAUGUGGAUCUCACGUAUUCUACAGAUAUCCCUACAAAUAUCGCCAAUAUGAUGGGUGUUCGAACUAGAAUUCGUGAUAGGCAAAUGCAUCAACAACUGAAAGAUGAUUUGGUUGAACAUGUAUUGCGUAAAUUUGGACGUGAUAAAGGCAACAACUGAGCUCAGAUGCUUCUUU